GUGUGAUGUUACUCUGUAUGGGUGAAUGCUAAAGCCUUCUGAAAUUGUAUGGUGGUACUCUGUGUAUUGUGGCCAUCUCAACUGUUACAUAUCCUGUGAUACUCCUGGAAUCAAGUUCCUGGGAGUGGUGUACUCCUCCUCCCAUGGAGGUAACACAACUUUUGCACAGCUCCCGAGACUCAGUGAGGGUUCUGAGCGCUAUGUGCAGGCAAUAGAUGCUGAAGGACUUCCCAGGACACCAAAGAAGAGAAGGGUGAUUAUGCUGUUGAUGCUUGGUCAGUACUUGCAUGGACUUAGGAGGCUGGACUUCAGAGGCUUCCAGAGGACUCUGAUCAAAUAUUAAUAAACAGCCUCUCACUGUU